rnacentral:rRNA from 1 species
GACCGUACCGCAAACCGACACAGGUGGGCGAGAUGAGUAUUCUAAGGUGUUCGGGAUAACUGCGUUUAAGGAACUCGGCAAAUAAGCGGCCGUAACUUCGGGAUAAGGCCUGCCAAUCUUUUUUUCGGAAAGGGUUGGCCGCAGCGAAUGACUCCAGUCGACUGUUUAUCAAAAACAUAGGUCUCCGCGAAGCCGCAAGGCAAAGUAUGGGGGCUGACGCCUGGCCAGUGCCAGAACAUUACGGGGAAGGGUUAACGCUCUGAACCUAAGUGCUGGUGAACGCCGGCCGUAACUAUAACGGUCCUAAGGUA